UUAUGUUCUUUCUUCUUCUUUCUUUCAAUCGAUUUCAAGUCAAAGAAGCGAUCUUGAGUUGAUGUGAAUGUUUUGUUGAAGCUGUAUAGAUGAUCAAGGAGAUGUAGUUUCUGUUAAUUGUGAAGAAGAAGUUGGUGUUGAUGAAGAAUCGAUGAAAGUUAAUCUGUAUUAACAACGAUCUAUCCAAAGGAUGAACCUGUGGAUUAUGGAUUUCAAGGUAUGCGAGGCUUGUCAUCAAAAGAGUUUCAGAGACAUAUCAAGAUGUGCACGUGG